UAAGCAAUGUUCAAGGAAACAUGACACACCUGCUUAUGAUAGCUAUUUUCUGUUUUCAUGACACUGGCCCUUGCCUUUCGUGUCGGUUAUCUGUAUAACAUCUUCGGUCCUGUGAAAAUCAAGCCCUAAUUUCCAUCACCAUGAAUGUGGCCCAACUGUAAGGAGUGAAAGAGAUUACUACGAUGUGCUGAUGCGAUCAUGCAAAUAUUUGGCUCUACUCAUAUAGCAUUCAUAUUGCCAUACUGUUACAAGGCCAGAGCCCUCAUAAUCGGAGGAUUUAGUCUGCACCUUUAUUCAUCAUUAUCUUAUUACUUGGUGCUUGGCAUGUGCGCACAGACUGCAAUGAAAAUGUCCAUUAGCACCGGGAGAAGACCAGAAAAGGUUUGGCCAGACGUAGGCAGCUGGUGGUAAGUUGAGCUAAAAACUUCUCUAUAUCAACAUCCGCAUUCUGGAGUGUUCUGUGAUGAUCUUACUGGGGAAAUGAGAACAAAUGUCUUCUUACCUGAGACAGAGACCCAGCAACAGACCAAAGAAAGGAUGCUGUCGAAGUUCAUCUUGGUGACCCAAUGCGCUCUGUUGGAGCGGCUUACUGGAGUAUAGGUGAGGGGUUACUUGGAAAUCUGAAAUGUCGCAAAAAUAGUUGUAUCACCAAAUUCCACCCCAACAUGACUGACAGAUCAUGAAAGCUGGAAACCUGGAGAACACUGCACAGCCUGGAGGUAGACCAUCAGAUUGGGAAGUGUCCUUUUUAGGAGUCGAUUGGCCUGAGCCUCUACCAGGCAGGUUGACUCAGCUUUGUUUCUUCCUGGCAGCUGUUUGUUUCUGUGCGUCUUUCAACAGUCCUUUCUGCAUCUAUGCGGCUGGGAACGGAGGAGCCUGGUAAACCUGGCCCAUUUCAGGGGCGUCUUGAAGAGAUUUUGAGCUGUUUCCUUUGGUGCUGCAGGAUGGAGUGCUCCCCUUCCUAGGAGAGCCUCCUGUUGUCUCACCCCACUAAACAGUCUUGUUUAUUGAAAGAUUGGAGCUAGGACAGCUGGACAUCAAUAUGAGCUUCAGGCUUCCUGCAGCUGAAGUGGGAUUAGCUGCUGAUUAACCAGCAAUCGCUGACUUGGAUCAACCCUGUUGAGCACAGUGCCCCUCUUUCUCCAUCACAUCCCCGGAUUCGAUUACUCUGGCUGCAACACGCGCUCUGGUUGGGUCUGCAGGAUGGCCAGCUUGCUCUUCUCUAAAGAGUUGUUCAUUAGAGAAGAUUAGUGAGGGAAAAGAAAAAACUCGGUAGGAAUUGUAUAAAUAAAUGCAUUACUUAUUUUAUCUGUGGGCUAUUACUUGAAGAUCCCACAAGCAAACAGAAAAGCCCAGGAACCCUGUGGAGCCUGAAUCCCUGCUAUCCUCAGAGCAGGUCAGGCAGGAGCCUGCCAGAAGAUUGUAUCCCUGUAUCCUCUGAUGCCAAAUUGCAAGCCUGGCUUAACUAACUUGCUGGAUGGAGUUGUU